UACGGAGGGGGCUAGCGUUGUUCGGAAUUACUGGGCGUAAAGCGCACGUAGGCGGCUUUGUAAGUUAGAGGUGAAAGCCCGGAGCUCAACUUCGGAAUUGCCUUUAAGACUGCAUCGCUUGAAUCAUGGAGAGGUCAGUGGAAUUCCGAGUGUAGAGGUGAAAUGCGUAGAUAUUCGGAAGAACACCAGUGGCGAAGGCGACUGACUGGACAUGUAUUGACGCUCAUGCACGAAAGCGUGGGGAGCAAACAGG
rnacentral:rRNA from 1 species